rnacentral:rRNA from 1 species
AACGUACGCUGGCGGCACGCCUAACACAUGCAAGUCGAACGAAGUAGCAAUACUUAGUGGCAGACGGGUGAGUAACAUGUAGGUAUCUGCCCUUUGGCCUGGAAUAACACGAGGAAACUUGUGCUAAUACCGGAUAUGUCUUUCUGCGGAGAAAGCUUUAUGCACCAUUGGAUGAGCCUGCACUUGAUUAGUUUGUUGGUGGGGUAAUGGCCUACCAAGACUGUGAUCAAUAGCUGAUUUGAGAGGAUGAUCAGCCACAUUGGGACUGAGACACGGCCCAAACUCCUACGGGAGGCAGCAGUGGGGAAUCUUGCACAAUGGAGGAAACUCUGAUGCAGCGAUGCCGCGUGAGUGAAGAAGGCCCUUGGGUUGUAAAGCUCUUUCGUCGGGGAAGAAAAUGACUGUACCCGAAUAAGAAGGUCCGGCUAACUUCGUG